ACUAGAAACAGGAGCCCAGUGCUUUGUGUCUAUCCCUCCCAAUAUCUAGGGAAAGGCUUUGAUCCAACUGCUGAGAAUGGGAAUGAACGUUGUCUUAUACUGCUUUAGGAAGAACACCAUAAAUGUGGUAUUUUAAAGAAAUGAACUGGCCUUGAUGACCUGAAUACCUGCUGUAGACUAAUAACCUUAGAAUUCUACAUAAUUCAGUUGUGAUAAUAAUAAUAAUUAACAACAACAAAACCUCCCCUUCAGAAGAGGCAUGCAAUGGACUGUGGAUCAAAGCCCCGUAUAAAUUUUGGCAAUGACAAGAGAAAGUGGUUGAUUUUUUACACAUAGAUGUCUAGCUUGUAUAAAAUCUAACAGCUCUCCUAUGUGUUGGAGAGGGUAUCCCACUUUUGGGACAUACAGACCUAAGUGGUGGGAGUGUUCAAAAAUAGAAAAUAGA